ACCAGGAUGGCCGAGUGGUUAAGGCGUUGGACUUAAGAUCCAAUGGAUGUAUAUCCGCGUGGGUUCAAACCCCACUCCUGGUA
rfam:Xenopus tropicalis strain Nigerian Chr03_contig_3521, whole genome shotgun sequence.